rnacentral:rRNA from 1 species
CCUACGGGGGGCAGCAGUGGGGAAUAUUGGACAAUGGGGGGAACCCUGAUCCAGCCAUGCCGCGUGUGUGAAGAAGGCCCUCGGGUUGUAAAGCACUUUCAGUGAGGAAGAACGCCUGGUGGUUAAUACCCAUCAGGAAAGACAUCACUCACAGAAGAAGCACCGGCUAACUCCGUGCCAGCAGCCGCGGUAAUACGGAGGGUGCGAGCGUUAAUCGGAAUUACUGGGCGUAAAGCGCGCGUAGGUGGCUUGAUAAGCCGGUUGUGAAAGCCCCGGGCUCAACCUGGGAACGGCAUCCGGAACUGUCAAGCUAGAGUGCAGGAGAGGAAGGUAGAAUUCCCGGUGUAGCGGUGAAAUGCGUAGAGAUCGGGAGGAAUACCAGUGGUGAAGGCGGCCUUCUGGACUGACACUGACACUGAGGUGCGAAAGCGUGGGUAGCAAACAGGAUUAGAUACCCCUAGUAGUC